rnacentral:rRNA from 1 species
AUUGAACGCUGGCGGCAUGCCUUACACAUGCAAGUCGAACGGUAACGCGAGGCAACCUGGCGACGAGUGGCGAACGGGUGAGUAAAGCAUCGGAACGUGCCCAGUAGUGGGGGAUAGCCCGGCGAAAGCCGGAUUAAUACCGCAUACGACCUAAGGGGGCAAGGGGGGGAUCGCAAGACCCCUCGCUAUUGGAGCGGCCGAUGUCAGAUUAGGUAGUUGGUGGGGUAAAGGCCUACCAAGCCGACGAUCUGUAGCUGGUCUGAGAGGACGACCAGCCACACUGGGACUGAGACACGGCCCAGACUCCUACGGGAGGCAGCAGUGGGGAAUUUUGGACAAUGGGCGCAAGCCUGAUCCAGCCAUGCCGCGUGCGGGAAGAAGGCCUUCGGGUUGUAAACCGCUUUUGUCAGGGAAGAAAUCCUUUGGGUUAAUACCUCGGGGGGAUGACGGUACCUGAAGAAUAAGCACCGGCUAACUACGUGCCAGCCGCCGCCGUAA